GGCAAUAACAAAACAAUUCUUAAAAAUACGACACGAUACGUUUAUAAUAGUAUCGAAUGUUUUGACACGUUAAUAAUAUUACAUGAAACGUUAAUUGACACGAUUAUAUGACACGAUAAGUUUCGAUCCAUCACCGCUCUGACGUUUCAGAGGCGGAAUGACAUAACUCAGAACCGAAAGGUGCACAUCUCCGUUACGAAAGACAUUUAAUUUCUCUUCAUCUUCGAGUGUCAUGGGGACCUGGUUAUAUUCUGAGUGGACGUCCAUGAAGCUUAGUAGCUGAGGGCGGCGGCUAGCUGUCCUUUGGGAAGCCAUUAUUUAGGUUUGUGAAGUCCAUGCACACAAGCUAUCCUACAUUUGCUUUUCGAAACUACGUUAGCCAGCCACUUGGGGUAUCAUACAAGCUGUGUGAAGCCAACUCUUAAGAGUUUUUUUACUUCCCCGACCAUCGUUUCCCUCUUCUCGACCCUCAAUGUCCGUAAUUUCUGUCAGAUUGGUCGAGAUCCGAAGCUUGCUUCUAGAUUAUCUUCUGCUAGGGUUCUGGCCACUUCUUUAAGUUCUUUUUCGAACAGGUUUUCAUUUAUUCGCAGGAGGCUUAUUAGGCCUUUCUUCAGAUCUUGCGGAACUUGUGCCCUAAUCUGUGAUAACUUGAGACGAACGAGAGAUCGAGCGAUCAAACAGAUUGAGAAAGAAGUCUGUGAACCGUAACAAGAAAUUGGGAUUAAAUCGACGAAUGUAUCUCUUACAACCCUAUUACAUAUAUUUAUAUUAUAUAAUAUUAUAUUUCUACUUAGUCCAUUAACUUCUUAAUAUUACAAAGAAGCCCUAUAUAUUAUAUAAUCUAC
rnacentral:lncRNA from 1 species